rnacentral:rRNA from 1 species
AGAGAGAGACAUGCGCGCAUAUCAAUAAGCGGAGGAAAAGAAACUAACAAGGAUUCCCCUAGUAACGGCGAGUGAAGCGGGAAGAGCUCAAAUUUGAAAUCUUAAAGGGUUUCCCUUUACGAAUUGUAGUUUAAAGAAGUGUUUUCUGUUGAAGUUUUGGUAAAAGUUCUUUGGAAUAGGACAUCAUAGAGGGUGAGAAUCCCGUAUUUGACCAUUAUUUUCCAGCUGUGUGAUACACUUUCAAAGAGUCGGAUUGUUUGGGAAUGCAGUCCAAAAUGGGUGGUAAAUUUCAUCUAAAGCUAAAUAUUGGCGAGAGACCGAUAGCGAACAAGUACCGUGAGGGAAAGAUGAAAGGAACUUUGAAAAGAGAGUUAAACAGUACGUGAAUUGUCAAAAGGGAAGCGUUUGACACCAGUGUUGUUUUCUCGAAAAUCAAUUAGAAAAUGGCCGGAUUUUGUGUUGUAUUGACCUUAUAAGCUUUCUGCACUCUUUUUCCUUGUCUUUUUUAAUGCACUUUUCGUUUAACAAGUCAACAUCAAGUUUCUUUUGUUGUAAAAGGGUCAUUGGAAGGUGGCUUUCUUUUCGGAGAAAGUGUUUAUAGCCUUUGAUCUCUGCAACCGGAGAGACUGAGGUCUGCAGCGUAGAUCCUUCGGGGUUAGAUGCAUUUGUGCUAAGUUAUAGCCUUUCAUAGACAACUUGUUGACUAUGAUUAGUCAUUGUAGCUUACUCGCUUAUGCUAUUUUACCUACGCUUAGGAUGUUGACAGCAGUAUAGACUGU